rnacentral:rRNA from 1 species
GAUGAACGCUGGCGGCGUGCCUAAUACAUGCAAGUCGAGCGAACGGACGAUAAGCUUGCGUCUCUGAUGUUAGCGGCGGACGGGUGAGUAACACGUGGAUAACCUACCUAUAAUACUGGGAUAACUUCGGGAAACCGGAGCUAAUACCGGCUAAUAUUUUGAACCGCAUGGUUCAAAAGUGAAAGACGGUCUUCCUGUCACUUAUAGAUGGUUCCGCGCUGCAUUAGCUAGUUGGUAAGGUAACGGCUUACCAAGGCAACGAUGCAUAGCCGACCUGAGAGGGUGAUCGGCCACACUGGAACUGAGACACGGUCCAGACUCCUACGGGAGGCAGCAGUAGGGAAUCUUGCGCAAUGGGCGAAAGCCUGACGGAGCAACGCCGCGUGAGUGAUGAAGGUCUUCGGAUCGUAAAACUCUGUUAUUAGGGAAGAACAUAUGUGUAAGUAACUGUGGACAUCUUGACGGUACCUAAUCAGAAAGCCACGGCUAACUACGUG